UAUAAGAGGUCCUGCCUGCCCAGUGACCAUGUGUUCAACGGCCGCGGUAUUUUAACCGCGCGAAGGUAGCGUAAUCAUUUGUCUUUUAAAUGUAGACCUGUAUGAAUGGCGCGACGAGGGCUUAACUGUCUCCUUUUUCCAGUCAAUGAAAUUGAUCUCCCCGUGCAGAAGCGGAGAUGACCCCAUAAGACGAGAAGACCCUGUGGAGCUUUAGACACUAAGACAGACAAUAGUACCUCCCCACAAAGAGAUAAACCUAAUGAACUCCUGCCGUUAUGUCUUUGGUUGGGGCGACCUCGGAGAACCACAAAACCCCCGCGUGGAAUAGGAACAACUCACCUUUUUUUACCACCCAAAACCAAGAGUCACCACUCUAAUUAACAGUACUUCUGACCAAUGAGGAUCCGGCUUAUGCCGAUCAACGGACCAAGUUACCCCAGGGAUAACAGCGCAAUCCUCUUCUAGAGUCCCUAUCGACAAGAGGGUUUACGACCUCGAUGUUGGAUCAGGGCAUCCUAAUGGCGCAGCCGCUAUUAAGGGUUCGUUUGUUCAACGAUUAAAGCCCU
rnacentral:rRNA from 1 species